GACGAACGCUGGCGGCGUGCUUAACACAUGCAAGUCGAACGGAAAGGCCCUGCUUUUGUUGGGUGCUCGAGUGGCGAACGGGUGAGUAACACGUGAGUAACCUGCCCUUGACUUUGUGAUAACUUCUGGAAACUGGGGCUAAUACCGGGUAGGAGCUCCUGCUGCAUGGUGUGGGUUGGUAAGUUUCGGCGGUUGGAGAUGGACUCGCGGCUUAUCAGCUUGUUGGUGGGGUAGUGGCUUACCAGGGCUUUGACGGGUAGCCGGCAUGAGAGGGGGACCGGCCACAUUAGGACUGAGAGACGGACCAGACGCCUACGGGAGGCAGCAGGGGGGAAUAUUGCAGAAUGGGCGGAAGCCUGAUGCAGCAACGCCGCGUGCGGGAUGACGGCCUUCGGGUUGAAAACCGCUUUCGCCUGUGACGAAGCGUGAGUGACGGUAAUGGGUAAAGAAGCACCGGCUAACUACGUG
rnacentral:rRNA from 1 species